GACGAACGCUGGCGGCGUGCCUAACACAUGCAAGUCGAGCGAUGAAGUUCCCUUCGGGGGAUGGAUUAGCGGCGGACGGGUGAGUAACACGUGGGCAACCUGCCUCAUAGUGGGGGAUAGCCUCCCGAAAGGGAGAUUAAUACCGCAUAAGAAGUGGAAACCGCAUGGUUUCAGCUUUAAAGGAGUAAUCCGCUAUGAGAGGGGCCCGCGGCGCAUUAGCUAGUUGGUAAGGUAAUGGCUUACCAAGGAAACGAUGCGUAGCCGACCUGAGAGGGUGAUCGGGCACAGUGGAACUGAGAUACGGUACAGACUCCUACGGGAGGCAGCAGUGGGGAAUAUUGCACAAUGGGGGAAACCCUGAUGCAGCAACGCCGCGUGGGUGAUGAAUGUCUUCGGAUUGUAAACCUCUUUCAGCAGGGAAGAAGCGGAAGUGACGGUACCUGCAGAAGAAGCACCGGCUAACUACGUGCCAGCAGCCGCAGUAAAAC
rnacentral:rRNA from 1 species